rnacentral:tRNA from 4 species
CCCUCCGUAGCUCAGGGGAUAGAGCACCGCUCUCCUAAAGCGGGUGUCGCAGGUUCGAAUCCUGCCGGGGGGA